AAUAAAAAAAAAACAUUGAUGUUUUCACUCUUCAGAUGAGUCUGUGAAGAGAUCUGAAAGAAAUGUGGUCUGUACUGCUGUCAUUCAGCAAGAAAUGGAUGGUUUUGGUGAAACUGCAGGGUUGCAGUGAAUAAAUAUGUGUUCGCGUAAAGAAAAUAAUAUUGAUUCUUAUGUAAUGCUUAAUUUUGGAAAAACUGAUUUCUUUCUGAACUCAAAUCGCAUUCAAUAAGAGUUAGUGAAGGUAGAACUUCUUCCAGGUGAUCCAUUCUCAUGUUUGACCUGGGCUGGAGGCUUAUGGCUGCAGCCUGAGCAAGAGCGUCUGGGAGCAACUCCUCAGCAAGAAGUCGGUGUGGUCUGUGAUCAUGGAACAGGGAAGGGCUUUGUCUUGCCAGCAUCAGAAUGGGUAGAGCUUUUGCUAUUCUAAAUCUCUCCAAGGGGAAUUGACUUGCUUUUGCUGGUAUCCUUGUGUCUAAGUUGCCAUGACAAUUUAUAUGAAUAGUUUAGUUAGGGGUCAUGAGGGAAAGACAGAUAAGAACCGUAUCUCUUGCUUUUAUAGAGCUGUUGUGUGUAACAGCAAACUUGUUAAACUUGUGAAAUGCCUAAAUUUUCAGCUUCUUGUUUGCUUAUGUAUCACAUGCUUGUAGGAAGAUUUCCUAGCAAUCUCUUCUGGUUCUUUUAGCAGGGAUUUAGAACAUGUAUUUUGAAGUCUGCUUGGACAGGAAAUUUUUUGCAUUAGGAUUGCGUGUAUCAGUCCUUCAUUUCUGUGCCAUUUUUAAAAGUCUUUCAGUGCAUGUUUGCAUUGGCUAAUAUUCCUGGCACCUUGGAAAGCUGUUGUUCUGUGAUCGAUCCAUUCCCUGUGAAGCAAGGAUUACACCUUAAGAACGUACUGAUUAUUGUUGUCUACUGAUAUUUCUCUUUAAAUCAUGUAGAUGUUGAGAAACAAAUCUACUGAAUUCUCCAACUAUGAAAAGCAGAACAAUUAGGCAAAGUGAGCAGUGACUCCACAUGGCUGAAUUGCUCCAGAUACGUGAGGAUCUAAAUCCAGAUACCAGUGUCUUACGUUAGACUCAAACCUGUAAGGACAGAGUCUGGUUCAACCCGCCGAUCUCAGGCUGCUUUCACUGUCUCUCAGCGGAGCUGCCCUAUCUGUGGCGUCUGCAGAAGUUUCAGCUUUAACAGAUGCGUUCAGGAGGCUGCCUUGGUGGUAAUGACCAUCUGUUACACCUUCAUCUCCAGAAUACAAGAAGAUAAUUGGUUAAUACUUGUUUACCAACAAGGGAAAAAAUACAUACUUUCCUUCCAUGUGUCUAAUGCUUUAUCACAAGUACCAGUAUGUAUGGGAACUGCCGAGUGACGGCCUGAACCUCUGAUGGAUCACCUGAGGCGAGCCAUGAGUCAGCCAGAGGAGCACAGCU